rnacentral:lncRNA from 13 species
UGAAGGUGUUAGUGUGGAUGAGUGGGUUGUGCGUGUCAAGAACGUUCCUGACAAAACAACUUAGCAACUGAAUCAUUUAACUUAGGAUAUAGAUGUAUAAAGACUUUUGCUAAAAGUAUGAUUUUUAUUGUCAUCAUUUUAAUCAUUGUCAUUCUUAGUUCAAUUUACAUGUUUUUAAAUUGAUUCUUGUCAAAGGUAAACACAAUUCUUGUUGUUGUCUCCAACAUUAGUAAAUGCUUUUUUUAAAUCCCCCCGGCCCCUAACAUAAGCUAACAUUACUGAAGCACAUACUCUCUAUCUCUCAUACACUCCUGCAUAUUCAGAUCCUACAAACAAGUCCCUCAACGAAUACGAAAAGUCUAAAAUGCACACAUACUCGAAAGCGCAAACAGUCACACUCCUUCAUAUUCAGAUCCUACAAACAAGUCCCUCAACGAAUACGAAAAGUCUAAAAUGCACACAUACUCGAAAGCGCAAACAGUCACACUCCUUAUACCUCCAUACGCACAACAAUGUGUUUUUCUCUCUCAAUAAUGCCUUUUCUCUCUCACUCUCUCUGACACACCCCCACACACACACAAAUCCAGCACCUACCAGCAUGUUUAUAAAGUUAUAUUACAAUGCACUAUCGUCAUUUCUCGUGUCAAGAAUUUUAAGUGCAGCAUUGGAGGAGUGAUGUUUUUUAUCCAGUAUCACCUCUCCUCUUAUUUCCCCCGUGCUGCAGGCAUAAAUGCUAUGGUUAAAUGUAAUGCUUUAUAACAUGUGAGAAGAAUAGUUACACCUCUCCUCAAAAGUCUUAACUGGCAUACAUCCAUGUACUGUACUUAACAGAAGCAAAUGCUUUAGCAAAAAUAAAAAAGUAAAAAAAAUUUGGUACAAUAGCUUAAUGAAAAAAUACUUGGAAAUGUACACGGAUAAACAAGCAAAUCAAUAAAUAAUGUAAACAAAUGUUAAUAAACCAUACAGCAUUGUCAUCGAAAAUGCAAUCCUAAUAUUGUCAGACUUUAUAGUAUAAAACAGUAAAUCUGUGGACUGCUGUCUGUCUGCAAAUUAACGCAUGUUUACAAAAUGGAGACUAAAGUAAUCUGUGACACAAAUCACAGUUUCCUCAGGCACCUGCCGCUCUGUGACUACUAUAUUUGGUAGUUACCACAGUGACUGAGAUUGUAAUAAUGAACAGCCUGAAGGUAACCUUUGAAAGUGAUGGAGGAAAAAAUAAUAAUAAUUAGGUCUGGAUUUGUAGGAUAUUUGUUGUUAUGAAAUGUUUAAUAUUGUAAUUUGUGGCAAUAGAAACCAUUCUGUUGACUAUUGAUACAAGAUUGCUACCUGGAACCCAGACAAAGUGUUAUGGGUAGAUGCAUCAGGCAAAAACACAGAUCUGUGCUUCUGGAAAUGCCCUCAAAGCACAGGUGCAGAGUCUCUUUAAUUCCAGUUAAUAAGGUUUGAAGGCAGAUAUGAAAACAGAUCUAGGACCAGUUUUUGAAGGGCACCGUCUAUUUUGUCUUUGACAUGUGGGCUUUAGACCUUUCUAUGCACCACAAAGCCACAGUUAGAGGACAUCUAGAGGAGAUGGAUAAGGGCUCUCGAAAGCCUUUAGAGAUUCUCAAAAUAUUUCUGUCUUCCGGUUAACACCAUCAACACCUGGGCCUCGGUGUGACCAACUCGUAUCUAUGACAGUAAAAGAUGGGUUAACAUCCGGUAGAAUGGCAGCAGUGUAGAGAAAUGGCUGCAAGUAUAUGGCACAGCACAGUACAGUGAAUAUUGGCAGAGUCCAGCAUGGUCCACAGUACUGCNNNNNNNNNNUUCUAUGUUUUUUCCCACAUUCUCAUUAAAUUGAGUUAAGGAGGACAUCGACACCUUUGCAGCCUGAAUGGGGAAUGUUUUAUGUACGAACCGGUCCACGGGGGAUACGAGUGUAAAGCCUGCUGCAUAUAUUCCCUUUGGAUGGUAAGAUGAGGCAUUUAUUCUUGAAGUGAUGAUUUAUCUUAUAACCAGUUUAGCCCAAAGAGCUACAGUACAUCCUACCGCUACCCCCAGAAAACAUAAAUAAAUCAUACAAAAUGUAAGUAUUAAAUGAAUGUACAAGUCUAAAGGAGACUGACUAAGAUCCCAAAAGCAUGUGCAUGCAGAGAGCCAAGGUGACAACUAUCUAUCUUUCAAUUAAAC